GAACAACAAGACCAAUGCACUCUGCCGGAUGGCCGCAACCAAGACACAGGCUUAGUGAGAAGAGAACAGAUCUUAAGCAGGAUUCCACCGUCGUAAUGUCAGAAAUGUCUCGGUUAGAAUUGGAGGCCUGUACUUCCACGGAAUGCAGACUGGGAAAACAUGGAUGAGGAAUUACAAAACUGUUGGUGUUAUCACAUUCUUGCCUGCAUACUGCACAUUCCGAUGUCAGUGGUAAUGAGAGGACAAAUGUCAGAGCUGGCUGUGUCAACAGUGGGAAUAUCCUGCAGUAUCGAGUGUGUUUGUGUGUGCACACGUGUCUGCAUGUGUGUAUGUGUUUGUGUCAGGUGUGCAUGUGUGUAUGCAAUAUGUGUGUGUGUGUGUGUGUGGGCGAGCACGUGUUCCAUGCGUGCCUGAGUAUGGGUGUGUGCGUAUAAGUGUGUGAGGAGGAUACAUAGCUUGGAUGCGUUUAUUGACUCAACGCUCCUCUCAGUGAAUCAUGUUGCCUGGAUUCAUGGGAGUAGACACAGGAUCAACCAGCGCAGCAGCUCACCUUUGGUUGGGACACACGCAUACAGCCACACCAACACUACCUCAGAACACAACAUACCUCAUCAACCCAGUGUUGCACAACAAUCUCCUGAUCAAUAACAGCAGAAGGAAUGUGGGCUUCAAAGAGCACAAACCAAGGUGCCACCACCUGUAUUGUGUCAAUUACAAUUACAAGUUCCAACUAUGAGAAAUAUUCUGGGCUGGGAAGACUGAGGGGAUACUGAAAGGGUUAUUAAUACAGGGUGCAAUAAAUUGUCGUUAACCUUU